UUUUAUCUCCAGAUUUGUUGCUAACCAUGUGACAUUUUUUCAUCUCCUGCAGUGCGCGAAGAAGCCAUCCUGAUAUCGUUUUUGGCAUCCCCUUCCCGUAGUUUAGGAUUUUUAUGCAAUUUUAUUCUGACUCUUUUCUCCCACCAAUCUCUCUGGCCUGCUUCACGAUAAUCGACCAGUUCUCUAGUCUUACUCCCUCUGUUCCUCUCUGCUCUGCUUUCUGACUCAAACUGCAACAAUGGCUGCCCCGACCUCUGCAAUCGGGUUCGAGGGCUACGAGAAGCGCCUCGAGAUCACCUUCUCCGAGGCAUCGAUCUUUGCCGACCCUCAUGGUCGUGGCCUGCGCGCCCUCUCUAGGGCCCAGAUUGACUCUGUUCUUGAUCUUGCACGGUGCACCAUUGUGUCCGAGCUCUCCAACAAGGACUUCGACUCGUAUGUGCUAUCUGAGUCCAGCCUGUUCAUCUAUUCUCAGAAGAUUGUGAUCAAGACCUGUGGGACUACCAUGCUCCUGCUCACCAUUCCUAGGAUUCUUGAGCUUGCUGAAGAGCUGUGCAUGCCGCUUGCUGCCGUCAAGUACUCUCGUGGGAUGUUCAUCUUCCCCGGCGCACAGCCUGCUCCCCACAGGAGCUUCUCUGAGGAGGUUGAUGUCCUGAACCGCUACUUCGGCCACCUGAAGUCUGGUGGCAAUGCUUAUGUGAUCGGAGACCCAGCGAAGCCUGGCCAGAAGUGGCACAUCUACUAUGCCACCGAGCAACCUGAGCAGCCCAUGGUCACCCUGGAGAUGUGCAUGACUGGGCUGGACAAGAAGAAGGCCUCUGUCUUCUUCAAGACUCAAGCUGAUGGCCACGUUUCCUGUGCCAAGGAGAUGACCAAGCUCUCUGGAAUCUCUGACAUUAUCCCUGAGAUGGAGGUCUGUGACUUCGACUUCGAGCCCUGCGGCUACUCCAUGAACGCCAUCAACGGAUCUGCCGUCUCCACCAUCCAUGUGACCCCCGAGGACGGCUUCAGCUACGCGAGCUACGAGGUCAUGGGCAUGGACGCCUCCGCCCUGGCCUACGGCGACAUCGUCAAGAGGGUCCUCCGGUGCUUUGGCCCUUCAGAGUUCUCUGUGGCGGUCACCAUCUUCGGUGGCCGUGGCCACGCCGCCACCUGGGGCAAGAAGCUCGAAGCUGAGGCAUACGACUGCAACAACGUUGUGGAGCAGGAGCUCCCCUGCGGGGGCGUCCUCAUCUACCAGAGCUUUGCCGCGAACGAAGAGGUUGCUGUCUCUGCCGGGUCGCCCAGGUCCGUCUUCCACUGCUUCGAGGCCGAGAGUGUGCAGAGCCACCCUCUGGUCAAGGAAGGCAAGCUCGCCAACCUCCUCGCAUGGCGGGCGGAGGAGGAUUCCCUGGAGGAGGGCGCGGUGCUGUGCGAGUGAUUGGCUGUCGCUGUUCCGUCUGUGGACUUUGUUCUGACUAAGUUUGUCGUUUGGUUACUGUGAAGCAGCUGGCCAGGCUAUUGCUACUCCGAAUAAACUAUUAGCUCUAGGUGGUUUGCUGCGUCUGCCACAAUGAGCGUACUUCUGGGGAGAAGUUGUCUCAAACUGAUAAAUAAGCAUUUUUUUUCUAAGACGAGUGUCACUUUGUUAUCAUAUUCAUGUUCUGUAAUCGAAACUACUUCACAGCCGAUAGCUGUUGGACGAUUCAAGCACGAUUCUUAAUCUAGUGGCUGUGUUGCACCUAGUACUAGGUAUCGAUGGCCUGAAUUGCAGUAUCGUCCAACAAUCGGCUGGAACAUGUCGUGUGCAUAGCAGCACUCUUCUGUAAUUGGUGUUACUCUGUGCCAAGUUGCAGUGUGUUGACAGGCGACCAAUGUGCUCAUUUCCCCUCGCCUAUCUUCCUA
rnacentral:lncRNA from 1 species